rnacentral:lncRNA from 1 species
UUAAACGUUCAAGAUCUUGUGAGUACGCAAAUGAAAAGCAUAGAAAGCAACAUGAAAUAUUCGUAUAAAUAGGGACCAUUAACAUAUUUUUCCUGCGGUCCAUAUUCCAUAAAGAGACAGAAAACUUUUGAGGGGCCUUCCUGCAAAAUUACCUGAACCACAUGGUCCACAUCUAAACCCUACCGAACCCUAACUGCAACCUCUGCUUCUUCCCCGGCCCUCUCCUUCGCCAUCCCUUCCCGUCGCCGCCCCCGCAAGUGCUCUCUCUCUCUCUCUCAUAGGUACUUUUCCUCUCCUUUUUUUCUCACUCAUUGCCUCAUUUGAGAGAUGUAAUGAAAUAUGUAUAGUAAAUUAUUUCUUUACUUGCGAAAGAGGAGUUAUAUGUUAAUUGCACGACGUGAUAAUGUUAUGCUAUUGUACUAUUAGGUUUGGGGAUUUGUAUUGGUUUGCUCGUGCUCUCCUGCUUCUCUGUAGUUGGCUUUUUAUCGUUAUCCAGUGUUAAUGAGU